rnacentral:rRNA from 1 species
GGAAACGCCCGGUCCCAUUCCGAACCCGGAAGCUAAGACCCACUGCGCCGAUGGUACUGCAUCCGGGAGGGUGUGGGAGAGUAGGUCACCGCCGGAC